AGCUGCACAAAUCCAUGUUCAUUAUCAGCGUUUAUUUGCGCAUCUUCUCUGUUAACAACGGCUCUGUGUAGUAACAGCUGCUCUAUGUGAAAUCUCCGCACCUGAUGGAAUUAACCGCUGAUUAGAGAACCGGCUUUACUGACGAGAUGCGCAUUAAUGAUCGGCCGAUCUUGAUCGGCACAGCCCUACACACAAGGCCUGUUCUCAACUUCAAGUAAUUUAAAGUUUCAUUUUUUUGAACAGUUGUUUGAAAUGGAUUUAAUCAUUAUUUAAAAUAUUGGAGAUUUUUGAAUUGCCUAAAUCAUAAAUGCAGCCGGGUUGAAGCCUGCAGUGAUGUUUUUCGUUUAUGUUAUGGCAGCAGUCCCCUCUGCAUAUAUAAUUUUUCGAGAAUGUUGCACUUCUGUUGCUGUUUGUUAUUCUGCACGAAACUUCAUGCUAAUAAAUAAGAAAUAUUGCUGAGUUGUGCGUUUCCAGUACUCUUUAUGUUCGUCCAUUAUUUGGCGUUGAAAAAGGAGACGUCUUUUUUUGUUUUGUUUUUUUAGACAUGGAAAAUCGAUUUUACAAUCGAUUCAAUGAACACUUAUGUCUUAAAAAUCGAAAAUGAUUUUUUCACAAAAGUGACAGCCCUACUUUCAAGAACUGAAAUAUCACAAUAUGAAUAUCGCAAUAUAAUCUCAGAAUAUCUCAAUAUAUUGACACAAGUAUCGUGAUAAUAUCGUAUCGUGAGGCCUCUGGUGAUUCUCACCCCUACUUAUAACUGGUGUAUGGUUAAUUAUCACUAUAAAUCAUGGUGUCCAAGCCUGCUAUGUAUCAAUAUAGAUUCAUGUAAUUUUAAGAUGGGAACAAAACAUGACAAAAUAUAUUAAAUAACUUACAGAGCUCUUUUGCAGGUUUUGAUGACUGCUGAUAAUCUAAUGAGACACUCGUCUGAUUUCUUGAAUUUCUGAAGCUCAAACUCCUCCAGCUCCUCCUCUGAUGUCAACAACACAAAGGCCAAAGCAGACCACUGGGCAGGUGAAAGAUCAGCAGAUGAGAGACUUCCUUUGCUAAGGUGGGUCUGAAUGUCUUCCACCAGAGUUUGGUCGUUCAGUUCAUUCAGACAGUAGAACAGAUUGAUGGAUCUCUCUGGAGACAGAUUAGACUCUAAUUUCUGCUUGAUGUACUGAACUAUUUCUUUUUUGCUCUG